GCCGCCCCGUGGGGCACGCGGGGAGCGGCCGGGAGGGACAUGAGCCCGCCGGGCACCGCAGCGGGCGGCGGCAGCAGCCUCGCAGCACGGCGGCUGCUCCUUCUGCUCGUGCUCCAGGCCGCCCGCCCUGCGCAGGGACAGCGGGCUGCAACAAAUAGUUCAGUCCCAGAUGUCUGUGCCACUUGCCAUGCUAACGCCACGUGUCAGCAAAAAGAAGGCAAAAAUGUCUGCAUCUGUAACUAUGGAUUUGUGGGUAAUGGGAGGACUCAUUGUCAAGAUAAAGAUGAAUGCCAGAUUGGAGCGAGCAAGAUCUGUGGCGAGCAUACAUCAUGUCACAAUACGCAUGGAAGUUUUUACUGCAUUUGUCUUGAAGGAUACCAUCCCUCUAACAACAACAAGACAUUUAUUCCCAAUGAUGGCACGUAUUGUACAGAUAUAGAUGAGUGCCAGCUCUCAGGUCUGUGUGGUGUUGGGGGACGAUGUGUGAACACUGUUGGAAGCUACAACUGCUACUGUAUGGAAGGAUAUAGACCAGAAAAUGGAACAGAAUUUUUUCAUCCAGCUGGGAACACUGUUUCAUGCAAAGAAAUUAGGUGUGGCCCUCUAGAGAUCACGCAUGGACACAUCCUAGGGAACUACACCUCUGUGCUGGGGAGUGAAGUUCAUUAUGAGUGUGAAGAAGGGUUUUACAGCGAAGGGGAAAACGUAUCUAUUUGCACCAAAGAUGAAAUCUGGGAACCCUCUGUCAUAAGCUGUAAAGCUGUGGAUUGUGGAGUCCCACCUUCUGUCUUGAAUGCAUAUUCAGAUCCUGUAAGGAGGACCACCUAUGGAAAUGAAGUUGCUUAUAAUUGCCUGCAUGGUUAUGUUAUUGAAAGUGGUAACCAGACUGCAGUUUGUAAUGCCAAAGGACAAUGGGAAGGUGCUGAUCUGGUGUGCAAAGAAAUAGACUGUGGCAGACCUUUGUGGAUUCCACAAGCAGAAAUGAUUUGGGACAACUCCACAACUCUAGGAAGCAUGGUGUACUAUAAAUGUAGUGAAGGGUUUCAUUUUAAUGGAGAGAAGAAUUUUUCACAAUGCACAAUAAUUCAGAAGUGGGAAAAUAUCACUGGUGUAUGUGAAGUAACAGACUGUGGCAGACCUCCUUCAAUCCCCAACACAGACAUGAUUUGGAACAACAUUUCCCAGCUAGGGAGUGCAGUGCACUAUCAAUGUAAAAAGGGAUUCCACAGCAUAAAUCGAAGGAAUAUGUCACGUUGUACUUAUAAUGGAUCCUGGGAAAUUCCAGAUCUAAUAUGUAGAGAAGUAGACUGUGGCAUUCCUCCACCAAUACAACAUGCUGAGCUAGUAUGGAAUUCCAGUUCGAGUCUUGGAAGUGUGGUGCAGUAUUCAUGUCAGAGGGGAUUUGAAUAUGCUGGUGGAAACAAUAUUUCAGUUUGCACAGAGGAAGGUGUUUGGGUAAAAAGCACUUUAACAUGCACAGUGAAGGCAGCCAUUGGAAACGUGUCUGUAUUUAAUCAAACCUGUGUGAAGUGGAGAAGGAGCACUAGAGAAACCAACUUGAAGGUGGUGUAUUUGUUUCAUGUACAAGGGCGAAGAUGGCAUCAAAAGGCAUUUUUCCAUGAAGCAAUGUUUAACUUCACGGCAGAGAAAGAAACUCCAGAGCUGUGUCUAGACCUAAAAGCAGGCAGUAACUACACUGUGAACAUCACUGUAUUGUCUCCUGAGCCCUCGAGACCAGUCACUGUAACAAUCAAUACAGUUGAAGAGGAAGGAUUCCACAGUGUUUCAGUAUUUAAUGAUACCUGUUUGAAAUGGAAAAGACAUUCUGGAAGAAUUGGGGUGAAGGAAACCUAUCUGUUUCACAUACAGGAACAACAGGGAUACUUGGUGAAAUCCUCCCAUGAAAUGAUGAUUAACUUCACCACAGAGGAAGAGAACCCAGAGGUAUGCCUGCCUCUACACCUGGGCGUAAACUACACUGUAUCUAUCACUGAGGCAUCUACCAAGCUUGUUUUACAAAUCCCCAUAGUGCUCCCAGCAACUGAAGAGGAAUUGCUCAGCAAUGUUUCUGUAUUUAAUGAAACCUGCGUGAAGUGGCAGAGAAAAGGUGCAAGAGCUGGGACAAAGGAAACAUAUACAUUUCAUAUAUUGGGACGAAGACGGUACCAGAAGGAAUUCUCUCGUGAAAUGAUACUUAACUUCACAACAGAUGAAGAGACUCCAGAGGUGUGUUUAGAGCUGAACUCUGAUGCUAACUACAUGGUGAACAUUACUACAGCAUCCUCUAAGGGGACCUCGGCCCUAAUUACUAUAGCAAUUAAGACAGAGGUAAAGGAAGCCUUCAGUAAUAUGGUGAUACUUAACGACACCUGCUUGAAAUGGAGGCAAAGCCUAAGGAGAGCUGGUAGGAAGGAAAUCUAUUCAUUUCACAUACAGGGUCGACGCUGGUAUCAGAAGGAGUUCUUUCAUGAAAUGGCCUUUAACCUCACCGCUUAUGGACAGACUCCAGAGGUGUGUCUUGAUUUGCGCCCAGGCACCAAUUACACUGUGAAUAUUUCCAUGGCAGCUUUGGAUCUUUCUGUGCUAGUUUUCAUGACAACUCCAAUUAUUGAUCCUCUAUUCCCAGAAAUAGAGUUUGUUACAGUACAAGGGCCUGCACCAGCACUCAGCCUACGAAAAGCAGAAGAUAGAAAUGGACCUAUCAGUUUUUAUCAAGUGAUUGUGCUUCCCUUGGCCUUGCAAAGCACAUUUACUUGUGAUUCCCUGGCUGCUGUGACUUUCUUUAACAAUGCCACUGAUGCUAAGGGGUAUGUGGCAGCUGAAUUCCUCGCCGAGGAUGUUGCUGACAACAUGCUGAUCUCUGUUGGAGACAGACAUUACUACGGGGCAUUCUAUAAUGCUCCCUUAAAGCAGGGGAAAGAUUACUGUGUGGUACUGAGAAUUAUAAGCCAAUGGAAUAAGGUGAGGACGCAAUCUUGUGCAGUUUGGGCACAAAUUGAAGAUUUAUCACCCACUCUGCAACAUAUGACUCUUGCUGGAUUAGGGUCGGUCACUGCUGUCUGCCUUAUACUGUUCUUGUCCUUCUUGGCAGCACGAAUGACCACGUUCCAUGGAACGCAUCAACAUUCCAGACAUAUGCCAAUCUCUCCCAGUGUCCUCUGACUCAUCCACACCGUGUCAAUGCUAAGGGCAGGUCUACACUACCCGCCAGAUCAGCAGGUAGACACGAUACAUCGAUCCCCAAAUGCACUCCCCGUUGACUCCGGGACUCCACCAGGGCGAGAGGUGGAAGCGGAGUCGACGGGGGAGCGGUGGCUGUCGAUCCCGUGUCACGAGGAUGUAAACCUUUGAAGCCACCUCCCUGAGGAGAUGUGUAUAUACUAGUUCAAACUGAAUUCUCCAGAGACCAACAAAGGCAAUACAUUUGGAUACAAGCCUGGGAUUUAAGCGGACUCAGGGCCUUCUUCCUGAUCCAGUAAACAGACAGGACCCUCCCAUCCACAGAGGGCCUCAAUCUUUAGGAGUGGAUUGGUCUGAGACCCCCAUGAGACUGGAUGCUUGUUCUGAGCUGAAGCUCUGAGGAACUUGUGACCACUAGGAAGUCCCUAGUGUGGGGUCCUGAAAGGCCAUCUAUGACUGAGGUCAGAACAGAGCCUCAAGCUCACCACUUAAAAUUUUCAGCACCUAUGGUAAAUGGGAGUCUGACAGCUAUCAUGUUCCUAAUUGUGUGCUGAUCAUGCUUUCGAAGGCAAUAUCCUAUAUAGCCCAUCCAAAACAACUAUUCAUUGUUGUGUUGGCACUGGGAUAGCAUCUCUUGUUCUAUGGCUGAAUGUUUUAUUUCCAGUUAUUCUAUAUAUUUAUCAGAUUUGUCAUGUCAUCAUUUCAUAAUCACUGCUGGGUUUCUUUCGGAGCCAGUCAGAGAACAGAAAAUUGCACCAUGAACUUAUCUGCCUUUUGAGUUUAGUAAAGCCACAAGGCAUUUUGCGUUUUGCAAAGUCAGUUGGAAAUGUGAUUCUUCUCAUUGCUCGGAGUAAGUUGGAGUUGUGGCGUGGAGGGGUCAUAUGUGCACACAUGGUCCAGUCUCAGUUUUAUCAAUGAGCCCAACCAGCAGUGCUGGCUCGUAAGGAAGAAUUCCCUUGAAAUUGGAAAUAAGAAAAAGCAGGAAACCCUCACUUUAAAUUAAGGAUGCUUUUGGUUUUGAAAGGCCUGAGCUAGCUUUCUUUAAACAGUUAGUGGCUCAGGGUCUGAUCCAGCAAAGCUGGACUCAGCUCUACUCUGAAAAGUCUGCUCCUAUUGAAACUAAUGGGAAUUUUGCUUUUGAUUUCAAUACAAGCAGGAUUGCAUCUUAACGCCAGCCAGGUCAGAAUCAAAAGCAGAUCUUAUAGGACUAGGUUUUAUCCCACUCUUGAUACCAUUUAAAACCAGAAUCAGCAUUUGACUCCAUAAUAAAAAGGCAGAAUUUAAAUUUUAGGAACUUUCUAAUAUCAAUACCUUGCAUUUAUAUAGAGUCUUUUAGAAAGUAUUCUCCCUCCCAAGCACUAAUUCUCAUCAGUAUCCUUUCUAGGUAUAUAAGGGUUAUUGUAUCCAUUCCACAGAGGACCAUACUAAUGCUCACAGUGAAUUAAUUGAAUUGCAGAGGUAGGACUAAAACUUGCCCUCCUGCUUUAACUUAGCUGGCAGAAGAGUCAAUUGAUCUUUGAUUUAAAUACCAGACUGACAUUUUGAGGGCUCAGAGAGGGAAGAGACCUUUGCAUUUCCUAUUUCACUGAACUAGCUACACAUAUGGGGGGGAGUAUUCAACACCACUACACCCUAGUACUUGUCAAAAACAGCAGCUGUUCGCCUACAUUUUCUUAUGUGAUAAUAGCUUUGGGGGCUUUUUAGAUCACAACAGGUUUAUGUAAAUAAACUAGUCCAUCACUCUCCACAACCCAGAGACAUCUUGUGCCCAUUAUAACAGGUCUGCAAGUGAACAGACUAGUUUAAAGGGAGUUCCCUAGCAACAGCAAACCUCAAGAGAAAUCACACACUGAGAAAUCAUGCUGGAUUUCCAUCUGCUGGAGCUCUGCUCACAAUUGUCCAUGCACAAGCUGCUGUAGGAGCAGCUGAGUUAUUAAACAUGUGCCCCUUAGAUAUCAAAUAGAAGCCAAAUAAAAGUAGUUAUAAAUUACCCUGGAGUCAAUUAAAAUGUCUACCAUGUUGUCCUCCUUCAUCCUCUUCUUUUUCCACACGCUUCCCCCAUCUCAUCCCCACCCCCUGCUCUAGCUGUUGGCUGCAAUUUAAAGUUUUAAAAAUCCUUUAUCUUUGUUUGGACAGCAAGUCAGGGAAUAUAGACCUUGGCUUCUGGUGUUAAUGCAGAUCACUGCAUCACAUACUGGCCAGCAGCCCAUUGUGCCCCAGCCACCAAUUUCAUCAGCUCCCUUUCCCUUCCCCCUCCCAGAAGAUUGUCCUAACACCAUAAAAAUCUUUUGAAGAUUUUAUUGACCUUGAGCACACUAUUCAGCAUCCUUGUGAUUCAGUUUACCCAUCUGUAAAAUAGAGUUUUAAAUACCUACCCCAGUAUGAAGUGCAAGGAGAUUAGAUGAAAGGUGCUAUAUAUGGUAAAGUGCAACGUAUUACCAUCACCAUGUAAGAGGAAAUGUUUAUUGGUUACAUUCUGCACUUGCUCAGCCUAUAGUUAAACUGCAUGCUUGCCAUGGUAUCGUGUCUGCACAGGUAACCCAGAA